AAGACCUUGCGCUUUUGGAGCGGCCGAUGCCUGAUUAGCUUGUUGGUAAGGUAAAAGCUUACCAAGGCUUCGAUCAGUAGCUGGUCUGAGAAGACGGCCAGCCACACUGGGACUGAGACACGGCCCAGACUCCUACGGGAGGCAGCAGUGGGGAAUUUUGGACAAUGGGGGCAACCCUGAUCCAGCCAUGCCGCGUGAGUGAAGAAGGCCUUCGGGUUGUAAAGCUCUUUCAGCCGGAACGAAACGGUUACGGAUAAUACCCGUGACUACUGACGGUACCGGAAGAAGAAGCACCGGCUAACUACGUGCCAGCAGCCGCGGUAAUACGUAGGGUGCAAGCGUUAAUCGGAAUUACUGGGCGUAAAGCGUGCGCAGGUGGUUUUGUAAGUCAGAUGUGAAAGCCCCGGGCUCAACCUGGGAACU
rnacentral:rRNA from 1 species